UCACAGUUUGUUUCUGCGUUUAUAAGAUCGGUGGGAUCUAAGUUUCCUAGUGGACCAAGGCAUUGGAUAUGGGGUUGAUCGGUAGGGAUUGCGAUCUUGUUGGCCAAAUCCUAAAGAUUGUAAGGAUAAAAGAAAAAGUAAAAAGAAGAAAAAAGGGGAAUAUUCAGUAAAAGGAAUUGCGGAUGAACAAAAGUACAGCAAGAGUACGAAAAAAGAAGACGGGUAAGCUAACCUCAGGGACGACGAAGUUGACGGCCAUUGCUCUGCGGGGAAGAAGAUCGAAAACUUGGGGGAUGUUGGAGAAAGUUCUUGCUAGAGUUCUUGGAGCUAAUGAACAGUGCUGCCGCCAGGAAAGCAGAGUUGAGGCUGUAGAAUGAUGCGAUGGAGAAGGAGUACCCGAGAAAGAAGUAUUUAUAGGACA
rnacentral:lncRNA from 1 species